rnacentral:rRNA from 1 species
CAAGGGGGUCAUCCCGACUUACCAACCCGAUGCAAACUGCGAAUACCGGAGAAUGUUAUCACGGGAGACACACGGCGGGUGCUAACGUCCGUCGUGAAGAGGGAAACAACCCAGACCGCCAGCUAAGGUCCCAAAGUCAUGGUUAAGUGGGAAACGAUGUGGGAAGGCCCAGACAGCCAGGAUGUUGGCUUAGAAGCAGCCAUCAUUUAAAGAAAGCGUAAUAGCUCACUGGUCGAGUCGGCCUGCGCGGAAGAUGUAACGGGGCUAAACCAUGCACCGAAGCUGCGGCAGCGACGCUGAUGCGUUGUUGGGUAGGGGAGCGUUCUGUAAGCCUGUGAAGGUGUGCUGUGAGGUAUGCUGGAGGUAUCAGAAGUGCGAAUGCUGACAUAAGUAACGAUAAAGCGGGUGAAAAGCCCGCUCGCCGGAAGACCAAGGGUUCCUGUCCAACGUUAAUCGGGGCAGGGUGAGUCGACCCCUAAGGCGAGGCCGAAAGGCGUAGUCGAUGGGAAACAGGUUAAUAUUCCUGUACUUGGUGUUACUGCGAAGGGGGGACGGAGAAGGCUAUGUUGGCCGGGCGACGGUUGUCCCGGUUUAAGCGUGUAGGCUGGUUUUCCAGGCAAAUCCGGAAAACUAAGGCUGAGGCGUGAUGACGAGGCACUACGGUGCUGAAGCAACAAAUGCCCUGCUUCCAGGAAAAGCCUCUAAGCAUCAGGUAACAUCAAAUCGUACCCCAAACCGACACAGGUGGUCAGGUAGAGAAUACCAAGGCGCUUGAGAGAACUCGGGUGAAGGAACUAGGCAAAAUGGUGCCGUAACUUCGGGAGAAGGCACGCUGAUAUGUAGGUGAAGUCCCUCGCGGAUGGAGCUGAAAUCAGUCGAAGAUACCAGCUGGCUGCAACUGUUUAUUAAAAACACAGCACUGUGCAAACACGAAAGUGGACGUAUACGGUGUGACGCCUGCCCGGUGCCGGAAGGUUAAUUGAUGGGGUCAGCGCAAGCGAAGCUCUUGAUCGAAGCCCCGGUAAACGGCGGCCGUAACUAUAACGGUCCUAAGGUAGCGAAAUUCCUUGUCGGGUAAGUUCCGACCUGCACGAAUGGCGUAAUGAUGGCCAGGCUGUCUCCACCCGAGACUCAGUGAAAUUGAACUCGCUGUGAAGAUGCAGUGUACCCGCGGCAAGACGGAAAGACCCCGUGAACCUUUACUAUAGCUUGACACUGAACAUUGAGCCUUGAUGUGUAGGAUAGGUGGGAGGCUUUGAAGUGUGGACGCCAGUCUGCAUGGAGCCGACCUUGAAAUACCACCCUUUAAUGUUUGAUGUUCUAACGUUGACCCGUAAUCCGGGUUGCGGACAGUGUCUGGUGGGUAGUUUGACUGGGGCGGUCUCCUCCUAAAGAGUAACGGAGGAGCACGAAGGUUGGCUAAUCCUGGUCGGACAUCAGGAGGUUAGUGCAAUGGCAUAAGCCAGCUUGACUGCGAGCGUGACGGCGCGAGCAGGUGCGAAAGCAGGUCAUAGUGAUCCGGUGGUUCUGAAUGGAAGGGCCAUCGCUCAACGGAUAAAAGGUACUCCGGGGAUAACAGGCUGAUACCGCCCAAGAGUUCAUAUCGACGGCGGUGUUUGGCACCUCGAUGUCGGCUCAUCACAUCCUGGGGCUGAAGUAGGUCCCAAGGGUAUGGCUGUUCGCCAUUUAAAGUGGUACGCGAGCUGGGUUUAGAACGUCGUGAGACAGUUCGGUCCCUAUCUGCCGUGGGCGCUGGAGAACUGAGGGGGGCUGCUCCUAGUACGAGAGGACCGGAGUGGACGCAUCACUGGUGUUCGGGUUGUCAUGCCAAUGGCACUGCCCGGUAGCUAAAUGCGGAAGAGAUAAGUGCUGAAAGCAUCUAAGCACGAAACUUGCCCCGAGAUGAGUUCUCCCUGACUCCUUGAGAGUCCUGAAGGAACGUUGAAGACGACGACGUUGAUAGGCCGGGUGUGUAAGCGCAGCGAUGCGUUGAGCUAACCGGUACUAAUGAACCGUGAGGCUUAACCUUACAACGCCGAAGGUGUUU